UACGAAGGGGGCUAGCGUUGUUCGGAAUUACUGGGCGUAAAGCGCGCGCAGGCGGUUCUCCAAGUCAGUGGUGAAAUCCCGGGGCUCAACCUCGGAAUGGCCUUCAAAACUCCUGAUCUUGAGUUCGAGAGAGGUGAGUGGAAUUCCGAGUGUAGAGGUGAAAUUCGUAGAUAUUCGGAGGAACACCAGUGGCGAAGGCGGCUCACUGGCUCGAUACUGACGCUGAGGUGCGAAAGCGUGGGGAGCAAACAGG
rnacentral:rRNA from 1 species